AUUGAACGCUGGCGGCAGGCCUAACACAUGCAAGUCGGGCGGAGCGGCGGACGGGUGAGUAAUGUAUGGGGAUCUGCCUGAUGGAGGGGGAUAACGACUGGAAACGGUAGCUAAUACCGCAUACCAUCAGAUGAACCCAUAUGGGAGUAGCUAGUAGGGGAGGUAAAGGCCUACCAAGGCGACGAUCCGUAGCUGGUCUGAGAGGAUGAUCAGCAACACUGGGACUGAGACACGGUCCAGACUCCUACGGGAGGCAGCAGUGGGGAAUAUUGGGCAAUGGGCGAAAGCCUGAUCCAGCCAUGCCGCGUGUGUGAAGAAGGUCUUCGGAUUGUAAAGCUCUUUUGGUUGGGAGGCGUUACCAACAGAGUAAGCACCGGCUAACUUCGUGCCAGCCGCCGCGGUAAUUC
rnacentral:rRNA from 1 species